rnacentral:pre_miRNA from 1 species
CACCUACUCCCUCCGUUUGGAAUUACUUGUCACAAAAAUGGAUGUAUCUACAACUAAAAUACAUCUAGAUACAUUCAUUUCUUGGACGAGUAAUUCUGAACGGAGGGAGUACAUG